GAAGGGUGCAAGCGUUACUCGGAAUUACUGGGCGUAAAGCGUGCGUAGGUGGUUGUUUAAGUCUGUUGUGAAAGCCCUGGGCUCAACCUGGGAAUUGCAGUGGAUACUGGACGACUAGAGUGUGGUAGAGGGUAGUGGAAUUCCUGGUGUAGCAGUGAAAUGCGUAGAGAUCAGGAGGAACAUCCAUGGCGAAGGCAGCUACCUGGACCAACACUGACACUGAGGCACGAAAGCGUGGGGAGCAAACAGGAUUAGAUACCCUGGUAGUCCACGCCCUAAACGAUGCGAACUGGAUGUUGGGUGCAAUUUGGCACGCAGUAUCGAAGCUAACGCGUUAAGUUCGCCGCCUGGGGAGUACGGUCGCAAGACUGAA
rnacentral:rRNA from 1 species